ensembl:lncRNA
GAAGUCGGCAGAGUUCAGAUGUGCCAUUACAUCACAUAGACCGAUGACUGCAAACUUCCGACUAUAUAGAAAUGGAAGAUAUAUGCAGACCAAGGCAGCAGACCAGAAGAUGGUGACUUUCAGUCUUUCUACUCUGGCUUCCUCAGACAAGGGCAACUACACCUGUGAUUACUAUUACCAGGGGGAACGCAAUGUCAGCUCCUCCAAGAGCAAUGCGAUCACAAUUACAAUUGUGACAGUGAGGAGCAAGCAGAUUGUGAGAGUGGAGUUCCAAGUUAACUCCAGCCUGCCCCUUAGUGAUGCUGAAUUUCAGGAGAGGCUCAUGGAUCAGAUCAGAAGGAAACUGCAGGAGGGGGGGCUGCCGGCGGACGCUAAACUGAGCUGGAAAAAGCAGCCUGAUGGACAGAUUUUCCACAAGAAGAAUGAGAAGAAGGAGAAAAAAGAGAGGAAGAGGAAGAGGAAGAGCAAAGAUGAGUUUUGAAGCUCAAUAAAUCUCAGAG